UCUUUAGUGACUAAAACAUAACCUGAUCAAACCUAACCCUAAUUUUUUCUAAUUUCACCUUAAAUUUAAGGUCGCCUUUCACGUAGACAAACACCCAAAUAAUUAUACUUAAUUAAAUUGACACAUUCUAUAUUUCCAUAAGGAAUUAUAUAUUUUUUAAAUAAGACAACAUUGCAGAAUCAACUGCGCUCACCCCAUGCUUAAACCAAAUUUACACCAAAUGCGCAACUGUCAUGGCAGCCAUAUUUUGAAAAUAUCACAUUUUUAAAUAAGAUAAACACAAAAAUUAAUGCUGAGCGCACUUAAUUGUGAAUUUUAAAUUGAUAAAAAAGUAAGGCAUAUCGCACAUAUCAUAUUAUACACAGUUGUCAGACUCGUGUGGGGAGUUAAUCAAUACCAAAUAAAUACCCUCUGAGCUAUAGAAAUAAAACAUUGAGACGAUGAUUAAUAUAGUUUAUUAUUCGAUAAGUGUUUCCUUUUUCCAGUAACUCUCACAUCCCUUCUCAAUUCGUUUUUCAACGCACAAACAGUCUCCAAGAUCCGUAUAUUUCGGCCAUAAUUAAUUAUUUAUUAAAUCGUAAUCAAAAACACCAUAUACAAACCUCACGAAUAGUCAAAACUUUGACCUCCAACUACACUAGCGCCGCCAGGCGGGAGCAACGGCGUACAUAGGUGCCAUU
rnacentral:lncRNA from 1 species